AGAGUUUGAUCAUGGCUCAGGAUGAACGCUGGCGGCGUGCUUUACACAUGCAAGUCGAACGGCAGCGCGGGGGCAACCCUGGCGGCGAGUGGCGAACGGGUGAGUAAUGUAUCGGAACGUAUCCUGUAAUGGGGGAUAACCAGUCGAAAGAUUGGGUAAUACCGCAUACGCACGAGAGUGGAAAGUGGAGGAUCGCAAGACUUCACGUUAUAGGAGCGGCCGAUAUCUGAUUAGCUAGUUGGUGGGGUAAAGGCCUACCAAGGCGACGAUCAGUAGCAGGUCUGAGAGGAUGAUCUGCCACACUGGGACUGAGACACGGCCCAGACUCCUACGGGAGGCAGCAGUGGGGAAUUUUGGACAAUGGGCGAAAGCCUGAUCCAGCCAUGCCGCGUGCAGGAAGAAGGCCUUCGGGUUGUAAACUGCUUUAGUUCGGGAAAAAGGGGUGCGGGGUUAAUACCCUCGUGCUUUGAUGGUACCGAAGAAUAGACACGCCUCCCC
rnacentral:rRNA from 1 species